CCUUUUAUUGAAAUAUUAUCCUGAUAAUAACAACAAAUCUGAUAAGGCACUUUCAAAAAAUAGCCAAACCACACAUCAUAAAGAAAACCACUACAAUCAAAAUCGGUAACUAUCAAUUUUCAGGGAAUCUCAGGUUACCAUGACGAUCGGGGUAAAGGAUAGAUUACUAUUGCGGUCUGAAUUGAGGAAGUUUUGAUAAAUUAUUUUGAUAACCGUUCGAAUGCUAAUAAUAAAAACGGGAACGUUAAGUCCCCGUUUUAGUUUUUA
rfam:Salmonella enterica subsp. enterica serovar Javiana str. GA_MM04042433 gcontig_1113115915071, whole genome shotgun sequence.